UUCUCGCCUCUGCCUCAUGGUGUG
rnacentral:siRNA from 1 species